rnacentral:rRNA from 1 species
AGAACGAACGCUGGCGGCAGGCUUAACACAUGCAAGUCGAGCGCCCCGCAAGGGGAGCGGCAGACGGGUGAGUAACGCGUGGGAACAUACCCUCCGGUUCGGAAUAACUCAGGGAAACUUGAGCUAAUACCGGAUACGGUCGAGAGGCGAAAGAUUUAUCGCCGGAGGAUUGGCCCGCGUCCGAUUAGCUAGUUGGUGUGGUAAUGGCGCACCAAGGCGACGAUCGGUAGCUGGUCUGAGAGGAUGAUCAGCCACAUUGGGACUGAGACACGGCCCAAACUCCUACGGGAGGCAGCAGUGGGGAAUAUUGGACAAUGGGCGCAAGCCUGAUCCAGCCAUGCCGCGUGAGUGAUGAAGGCCCUAGGGUUGUAAAGCUCUUUUGUGCGGGAAGAUAAUGACGGUACCGCAAGAAUAAGCCCGGCUAACUUCGUGCCAGCAGCCGC